AUUGUGUAUUUAUAUUAAGUCAUACCUGCUCAAUGAUAUUUAAUUAUUAAAUGGCCGCAGUAUUUUGACUGUGCAAAGGUAGCAUAAUCAUUUGUCUUUUAAUUGUGGACUUGUAUGAAUGGUUUGAUGAAAUAUUGACUUUCUUUAUAUAAAAAAUAUUAAUUUAAUAUUUUAGUUAAAAAGCUAAAAUUGAUUUAUAGGACGAGAAGACCCUAUAGAAUUUUAUACUUUUAUUAAAACAAAUAAUAAUUGGUUUAUUUAUAUUUUGUUUUAUGUAGUAUUUUGUUGGGGUGACAGGAAAAUUUUUAUAACUUUUCUUAUUUAUUAUUUAUUUAUUUGUAUUUUAAUGAUCCUAUUUUAAGGAUAUUAAGAUUAAAUUACCUUAGGGAUAACAGCGUAAU
rnacentral:rRNA from 1 species